CACGAAAAUGUACAUGCAGUCUUCCGAGUUACUCGUCAGCCCUGAUGAUCCAUCGAAUAUACAGGAAUGUAUGAUAGAUGUAGAAUCACCAGGGUCGAUUUAGAAGUAAUUGAAGGCUGGACGAAACAUAUGCAAUGUGUCGAACGUCACCAAAAACAAGAAAAAAAU